CAAUGGGCGUAAGCCUGAACCAGCCAAGUCGCGUGAGGGAUGAAGGUUCUAUGGAUCGUAAACCUCUUUUAUAAGGGAAUAAAGUGUGGGACGUGUCCUAUUUUGUAUGUACCUUAUGAAUAAGGAUCGGCUAACUCCGUGCCAGCAGCCGCGGUAAUACGGAGGAUCCGAGCGUUAUCCGGAUUUAUUGGGUUUAAAGGGUGCGUAGGCGGCCUUUUAAGUCAGCGGUGAAAGUCUGUGGCUCAACCAUAGAAUUGCCGUUGAAACUGGGGGGCUUGAGUAUGUUUGAGGCAGGCGGAAUGCGUGGUGUAGCGGUGAAAUGCUUAGAUAUCACGCAGAACCCCGAUUGCGAAGGCAGCCUGCCAAGCCAUGACUGACGCUGAUGCACGAAAGCGUGGGGAUCAAACAGGAUUAGAUACCCUGGUAGUCCACGCAGUAA
rnacentral:rRNA from 1 species